UACGUAGGUGGCAAGACGUGUUCGGUUCGAUCUGGGCGUAAAGAGCGCGCAGGCGGUCGUGCAAGUCGCGUGUGAAAGCCCCCGGCUCAACUGGGGAGGGUCACGCGAUACUGCUCGACUCGAAGGCAGGAGAGGGAAGUGGAAUUCCCGGUGUAGUGGUGAAAUGCGUAGAUAUCGGGAGGAACACCAGUGGCGAAGGCGACUUCCUGGCCUGUUCUUGACGCUGAGGCGCGAAAGCUAGGGUAGCAAACGGG
rnacentral:rRNA from 1 species